GACGAACGCUGGCGGCGUGCCUAACACAUGCAGGUCGAACGGGGGCUUAGGUUGGCACUGAGUUAUUCUUAGUGAGGAUAACUGAGUGCCAACUUAAGACCUAGUGGCGGAUGGGUGAGUAACGCGUGAGCAACCUACCCUUAGGAGGGGGAUAACACACCGAAAGGUGUGCUAAUACCGCAUAAUAUAUGGUAGCCGCAUGGUUAUCAUAUCAAAGAUUUAUCGCCUAAGGAUGGACUCGCGUCUGAUUAGCUAGUUGGUGAGGUAAAGGCUCACCAAGGCGACGAUCAGUAGCCGAACUGAGAGGUUGAUCGGCCACAUUGGGACUGAGACACGGCCCAGACUCCUACGGGAGGCAGCAGUGGGGGAUAUUGCGCAAUGGGGGAAACCCUGACGCAGCGACGCCGCGUGAAGGAAGAAGGUCUUCGGAUCGUAAACUUUGUCAUCGGGGAAGAAGAAAUGACGGUACCCAAGGAGGAAGCCACGGCUAACUACGUGCCAGC
rnacentral:rRNA from 1 species